ACAGAGGUCUCAAGCGUUGUUCGGAUUCACUGGGCGUAAAGGGUGCGUAGGUGGGUCGGUAAGUCAGUGGUGAAAUCCCCGAGCUUAACUUGGGAACUGCCAUUGAUACUAUCGGUCUUGAAUACUGUGGAGGUCAGCGGAAUAUGUCAUGUAGCGGUGAAAUGCUUAGAUAUGACAUAGAACACCAAUUGCGAAGGCAGCUGGCUACACAAAUAUUGACACUGAGGCACGAAAGCGUGGGGAUCAAACAGGA
rnacentral:rRNA from 1 species